rnacentral:rRNA from 1 species
AUUGAACGCUGGCGGCAGGCCUAACACAUGCAAGUCGAGCGGAGCGGCGGGCGGGUGAGUAAUGCCUAGGAAUCUGCCUGGUAGUGGGGGAUAACGUCCGGAAACGGGAGCCUAUACCGCAUACUUGCAGAUGAGCCUAGGGCGUAUUAGCUAGAUGGUGGGGUAAAGGCCUACCAAGGCGACGAUGCGGAGCUGGCCUGAGAGGAGGAUCAGUCACACUGGGACUGAGACACGGUCCAGACUCCUACGGGAGGCAGCAGUGGGGAAUAUUGGGCAAUGGGCGAAAGCCUGAUGCAGCCACGCCGCGUGAAUGAAGAAGGUCUUCGGGUUGUAAAAUUCUUUUGUCAGGGAAGCGGUACCCAAAGAGGAAGCACCGGCUAACUCCGUGCCAGCAGCCGCGGUAAUAC